GUACCGAUGAAGAGUCCCAAACUAGGACGAAACAGUUGUCCAGUAC
rnacentral:hammerhead_ribozyme from 1 species